UAGGGAAUCUUCGGCAAUGGGGGCAACCCUGACCGAGCAACGCCGCGUGAGUGAAGAAGGUUUUCGGAUCGUAAAGCUCUGUUGUAAGAGAAGAACGAGUGUGAGAGUGGAAAGUUCACACUGUGACGGUAACUUACCAGAAAGGGACGGCUAACUACGUGCCAGCAGCCGCGGUAAUACGUAGGUCCCGAGCGUUAUCCGGAUUUAUUGGGCGUAAAGCGAGCGCAGGCGGUUAGAUAAGUCUGAAGUUAAAGGCUGUGGCUUAACCAUAGUACGCUUUGGAAACUGUUUAACUUGAGUGCAGAAGGGGAGAGUGGAAUUCCAUGUGUAGCGGUGAAAUGCGUAGAUAUAUGGAGGAACACCGGUGGCGAAAGCGGCUCUCUGGUCUGUAACUGACGCUGAGGCUCGAAAGCGUGGGGAGCAAACAGGAUUAGGUACCCUGGUAGUCCACGCCGUAACGAUGAGUGCUAGGUGUUGGGUCCUUUCCGGGACUCAGUGCCGCAGCUAACGCAUUAAGCACUCCGCCUGGGGAGUACGACCGCAAGGUU
rnacentral:rRNA from 1 species